AUCAAAUGCAAAUUGGGUGGUGCAUGCCGCGGUAGCUGUAUAUGUGCUUGAGGCCGAUAGUAUACAAGUACCAUGAGGGAAUGAUGAAAAGAACUUUGGAAAAAGAGCUAAAAGUGCAUGACCUUGCUGUGUGGGAAGAGAAUCGGCGCCCUUUGUGCGCUGAGGUUGUACGCGACCAAGGUUGGCAUUGUAACUGUGUCUUCGGUCAUGUCCUGUGCUGCUGUCCUUGGUGCAUGGGCCAGCGCUAGCUUUGCUUUAAACAACGCCUUGGCCUUGCGAUCUAUAUAUUCAUAGGUUUGUGUUUCGACAAAGAAAGGUUUGUGUAAGUUAGGCCGAUGAGGUUGGGCUGCUGCACCUGAU
rnacentral:rRNA from 1 species